rnacentral:rRNA from 1 species
UACGAAGGGGGCUAGCGUUGCUCGGAAUCACUGGGCGUAAAGCGCACGUAGGCGGAUUGCUAAGUCCGCUGUGAAAGUCCAGGGCUCAACCCUGGGAUGCCGGUGGAUACUGCUGGGCUAGAGUGCGGAAGAGGCGAGUGGAAUUCCCGGUGUAGCGGUGAAAUGCGCAGAUAUCGGGAGGAACACCAAUUGCGAAGGCAGCUCGCUGGGACGUUACUGACGCUGAGACGCGAAAGCGUGGGGAGCAAACAGG